CUGCGAAUGGCUCAUUAAUCAGUUAUAGUUUAUUUGAUGGUGUUUCUUCUCGGAUAACCGUAGGAAAACUAGAGCUAAUACGUGCGUAAAUCCCGACUUCGGAAGGGACGUAUUUAUUAGAUAAGAGGCGACCGGGCUUGUCCGACCUUCGGUGAAUCAUGAUAACUUCACGAAUCGCAUGGUCAUGAACCGGCGAUGUUUCAUUCAAAUUUCUGCCCUAUCAACUUUCGACGGUAGGGUAGUGGCCUACCGUGGUGGUAACGGGUGACGGAGGAUUAGGGUUCGAUUCCGGAGAGGGAGCCUGAGAAACGGCUACCACAUCCAAGGAAGGCAGCAGGCGCGCAAAUUACCCAAAUCCCAACUCGGGGAGGUAGUGACAAGAAAUAACGAUGCUCCGGCCUCUGGUCGGGUAAUCGGAAUGAGAACAAUUUUAAUCCCCUUAUCGAGGAUCAAUUGGAGGGCAAAGUCUGGUGCCAGCAGCCCCGGGUAAUUCCAGCUCCAAUAGCGUAUUUUUAAGUUGCUGCGGGUAAAAAGCUCGUAGCCGGAUUUCGGGUGGCGCCUCCGGCCCCUUUGGGAGGACUGGGAGGUACCUCCUUCUGCCGAAGACGUGUUUGGCUUACUGUCUGGCCCGGAAGCCGGCAAUCCCUUUAGUAAAUUAGGGGGUUCAAAAGAAGGCUUUUGCCCUUUUUCCCUACAUGGGAGGACCC
rnacentral:rRNA from 1 species